rnacentral:rRNA from 1 species
GAGUUUGAUCCUGGCUCAGGACGAACGCUGGCGGCGCGCCUAACACAUGCAAGUCGAACGGGACUAUGCGAGAUGAAGUUUUCGGAUGGAAUUUUGUGUAGUUUAGUGGCGGACGGGUGAGUAACACGUGAGCAACCUGCCUUCGAGAGGGGAAUAACGGCUGGAAACGGUCGCUAAUACCGCAUAACAUACGGGAGGGACAUCCCUUUUGUAUCAAAGAUUUAUCGCUCGAAGAUGGGCUCGCGUCCGAUUAGGUAGUUGGUGAGGUAACGGCCCACCAAGCCGACGAUCGGUAGCCGGACUGAGAGGUUGAACGGCCACAUUGGGACUGAGACACGGCCCAGACUCCUACGGGAGGCAGCAGUGGGGGAUAUUGCACAAUGGGGGAGACCCUGAUGCAGCGACGCCGCGUGUAGGAAGACGGUCCUCUGGAUUGUAAACUACUGUCCCCAGGGACGAGGAUGACGGUACCUGGGGAGGAA